rnacentral:rRNA from 1 species
GUAGGUGGCAAGCGUUGUCCGGAAUUAUUGGGCGUAAAGCGCGCGCAGGCGGUCCUUUAAGUCUGAUGUGAAAGCCCACGGCUCAACCGUGGAGGGUCAUUGGAAACUGGGGGACUUGAGUACAGAGGAGGAAAGCGGAAUUCCACGUGUAGCGGUGAAAUGCGUAGAGAUGUGGAGGAACACCAGUGGCGAAGGCGGCUUUCUGGUCUGUAACUGACGCUGAGGCGCGAAAGCGUGGGGAGCAAACAGGGAUUAGAUACCCUGGUAGUCCACGCCGUAAACGAUGAGUGCUAAGUGUUAGGGGGGUUUCCGCCCCCUUAGUGCUGCAGCUAACGCAUUAAGCACUCCGCCUGGGGAGUACGGCCGCAAGGCUG